GAAUCUCAUCUAGGCUCGGUGGUACAUGCAUUGAAAUUGGAACUAUACAGAGAUUAGCAUGGCCCUGCUCAAGGAUGACACGCAAAAUCGUGAAACGUUCCACAUUUUU
rnacentral:snRNA from 1 species